rnacentral:rRNA from 1 species
CGCGUAGGCGGAUAUUACAGUCAGGCGUGAAAUUCCUGGGCUCAACCUGGGGGCUGCGUUUGAUACGUGAUGUCUGGAGUUCGGAAGAGGGUCGUGGAAUUCCCAGUGUAGAGGUGAAAUUCGUAGAUAUUGGGAAGAACACCGGUGGCGAAGGCGGCGACCUGGUCCGAUACUGACGCUGAGGCGCGAAAGCGUGGGGAGCAAACAGGAUUAGAUACCCUGGUAGUCCACGCUGUAAACGAUGUGCGCUGGAUGUUGGGUGACAUAGUCACUCAGUGUCGUAGCUAACGCGAUAAGCGCACCGCCUGGGGAUACGGCCGCAAGGUUGAA